rfam:TPA: Bos taurus chromosome 17, whole genome shotgun sequence.
UCCCUGGUGGUCCAGUGGUUAGGACUCUGUUUUCCCAAUGCAGAGGGCCUGGGUUCAUUCCCUGGUCAGGGAA